rnacentral:lncRNA from 12 species
GAAUGACUCCACAUCCUUUUUCUCCAAAAUGCUUUAGAAAUCAGGAAAUUCGUCCAAAUGCUGUGUGAAAAGGGAAGUGAGGCUCUGAAGGGAAGCACCAGAGGAUGUGGAAGGGGCACAGGGAGGUUGCCCUGCUUUGGCUGGAGAUCCCCAGAGUUCCUGCCAGGCAGAGCCCUGCUGUGAUGUCACUGCCAGCAGUGGAGACCUCAGAAUGCCACACAGCACCAGGCUUUCCCCUUUAGCUGGGGGGCAGAAGUUCUGUAAACACGUGCCUGUCCCAUCACAGCCUCACUUGCAGUAUUUAUUGCUGUUUGUGCAAAGGCUCAGCAGUGGGGACAAUCUGUUUCAGGAUGUGACCCUUUAG